AAGUCGUAACAAGGUUUCCGUAGGUGAACCUGCGGAAGGAUCAUUAAAGAUGGGGUAUUUUACCGUGUGCAAAGGUUUGGGGGAGAAGGUGGGGGAUGGUUGGUGGGGAUUGAUAUGAUAUGAUUGGUUGAAUUUAUUUUGUUUGAUAUGUUUGACGUGGUGAUUUAUAUUACUUUGUAAUUUGUGUUAACUUGUUUGACAUGAUUUGUAAUUUAUGUUAUUUCGUCUUUCAUCAUUAUGAUAUUGUAAUUCAAUCUGUCAACUUCAAUCAUUCCAAUCGUUUCAUUCUAAUCUAUCCAAUCAUAUAUACUAUUCGUCAAAUCAUAAAAAUAAUAAUAAUUUGCGGCAAUGGAUCUCUAGGCUCUU
rnacentral:misc_RNA from 1 species